AGCGGCGGACAGGUGAGUAACGCGUGGGUAACCUGCCCUAUACACACGGAUAACAUACCGAAAGGUAUGCUAAUACGAGAUAAUAUAAGAGAUUCACAUGGAUUUCUUAUCAAAGCUGAGGCGGUAUAGGAUGGACCCGCGUCUGAUUAGCUAGUUGGUAAGGUAACGGCCUACCAAGGCGACGAUCAGUAGCCGACCUGAGAGGGUGAUCGGCCACAUUGGAACUGAGACACGGUCCAAACUCCUACGGGAGGCAGCAGUGGGGAAUAUUGCACAAUGGGCGAAAGCCUGAUGCAGCAACGCCGCGUGAGUGAUGAAGGCCUUCGGGUCGUAAAACUCUGUCCUCAAGGAAGAUAAUGACGGUACUUGAGGAGGAAGCCCCGGCUAACUACGUGCCAGCAGCCGCGGUAAUACGUAGGGGGCUAGCGUUAUCCGGAUUUACUGGGCGUAAAGGGUGCGUAGGUGGUCUCUUAAGUCAGGAGUGAAGGGCUACGGCUUAACCGUAGUAAGCUCUUGAAACUGGGAGACUUGAGUGCAGGAGAGGAAAGUGGAAUUCCUAGUGUAGCGGUGAAAUGCGUAGAUAUUAGGAGGAACACCAGUAGCGAAGGCGGCUUUCUGGACUGUAACUGACACUGAGGCACGAAAGCGUGGGGAGCAAACAGGAUUAGAUACCCUGGUAGUCCAUGCCGUAAACGAUGAGUACUAGGUGU
rnacentral:rRNA from 1 species